UACGAAGGGGGCGAGCGUUGUUCGGAAUUACUGGGCGUAAAGGGCGCGCAGGCGGCUCAGACAGUCAGAUGUGAAAGCCCCGGGCUUAACCUGGGAACUGCAUUUGAUACUACUGAGCUUGAGUACGGGGAGAGGAUAGUGGAAUUCCCAGUGUAGAGGUGAAAUUCGUAGAUAUUGGGAAGAACACCGGUGGCGAAGGCGGCUAUCUGGACCGUAACUGACGCUGAGGCGCGAAAGCGUGGGGAGCAAACAGG
rnacentral:rRNA from 1 species